rnacentral:rRNA from 1 species
GGAGGAAAAGAAACCAACAGGGAUUGCCUUAGUAGCGGCGAGUGAAGCGGCAAGAGCUCAAAUUUGAAAUCUGGUACCUUCGGUGCCCGAGUUGUAAUUUGAAGAAAGCUAUCUUGGAGGUGGCCUUUGUCUAUGUUCCUUGGAACAGGACGUCAUGGAGGGUGAGAAUCCCGUGUGAUGAGGUGUCCAUUUCCGUGUAAGAUGCUUUCGAAGAGUCGAGUUGUUUGGGAAUGCAGCUCAAAGUGGGUGGUAAAUUCCAUCUAAAGCUAAAUAUUGGCGAGAGACCGAUAGCGAACAAGUACUGUGAAGGAAAGAUGAAAAGAACUUUGAAAAGAGAGUGAAAAAGUACGUGAAAUUGUUGAAAGGGAAGGGUAUUUGAUCAGACUUGGUAUUUAGCUAUCAUCGCUCCUUGUGGGUGGUGCUCUAGCUUUUUACUGGGCCAGCAUCAGUUUUGGUGGCAAGAUAAUGACAGUUGAAUGUGGCUCCUCGGAGUGUUAUAGCUUCUGUUGAUGUUGCCUACCGAGACUGAGGUCUGCGGCUUUUGCCUAGGAUGCUGGCGUAAUGAUCCAAUACCGCCC